AUUGAACGCUGGCGGAAUGCUUUACACAUGCAAGUCGAACGGCAGCACGGACUUCGGUCUGGUGGCGAGUGGCGAACGGGUGAGUAAUACAUCGGAACGUGCCCAGUCGUGGGGGAUAACGUAGCGAAAGCUACGCUAAUACCGCAUACGAUCUAAGGAUGAAAGCGGGGGACCGUAAGGCCUCGCGCGAUCGGAGCGGCCGAUGUCAGAUUAGGUAGUUGGUGGGGUAAAGGCUCACCAAGCCGACGAUCUGUAGCUGGUCUGAGAGGACGACCAGCCACACUGGGACUGAGACACGGCCCAGACUCCUACGGGAGGCAGCAGUGGGGAAUUUUGGACAAUGGGCGCAAGCCUGAUCCAGCAAUGCCGCGUGCAGGAAGAAGGCCUUCGGGUUGUAAACUGCUUUUGUACGGAGCGAAAAGGCUCUCUCUAAUACAGGGGGCUCAUGACGGUACCGUAAGAAUAAGCACCGGCUAACUACGUGCCAGCCGCCGCCGUAA
rnacentral:rRNA from 1 species